rnacentral:rRNA from 1 species
CUACGGGGGGCUCCAGUGAGGAAUAUUGCACAAUGGGGGGAACCCUGAUGCAGCAACGCCGCGUGGAGGAUGACGCAUUUCGGUGUGUAAACCCCUUUUAUAUGUCAAGAAAAUGACGGUAGCAUAUGAAUAAGCACCGGCUAACUCCGUGCCAGCAGCCGCGGUAAUACGGAGGGUGCAAGCGUUACUCGGAAUCACUGGGCGUAAAGGACGCGUAGGCGGGUUGGAAAGUCAGGUGUGAAAUCCUACAGCUUAACUGUAGAACUGCACUUGAAACUUCUAAUCUAGAGUAUGGGAGGGGGAGAUGGAAUUAGUGGUGUAGGGGUAAAAUCCGUAGAUAUCACUAGGAAUACCUAAAGCGAAGGCGAUCUCCUGGAACAUUACUGACGCUAAGGCGUGAAAGCGUGGGGAGCAAACAGAAUUAGAUACCCUUGUAGUC